GACGAACGCUGGCGGCGCGCCUAACACAUGCAAGUCGAACGAGCGAGAGAGAGCUUGCUUUCUCGAGCGAGUGGCGAACGGGUGAGUAACGCGUGAGGAACCUGCCUCAAAGAGGGGGACAACAGUUGGAAACGACUGCUAAUACCGCAUAAGCCCACGACCCGGCAUCGGGUUGAGGGAAAAGGAGCAAUCCGCUUUGAGAUGGCCUCGCGUCCGAUUAGCUAGUUGGUGAGGUAACGGCUCACCUAGGCGACGAUCCCUAGCUGGUCUGAGAGGAUGACCAGCCACACUGGAACUGAGACACGGUCCAG
rnacentral:rRNA from 1 species